CUGUGUUCAGGUAAAUAGACAAUUUUAUCCUAAAAUUUCACCCAUACGUAUAAAUCAGGACUAAGCAAGUUCUGUUUUUUAUCACAGUAUUCGAGCUGGUUUACGGUGUUUGCUUUGGUCAGUUUGGGCGUAGCAGGCACAGGUAACAGACGCCAAGUAGCUGGCAGUUUUUAAUAUUAUAAGAUAUUCAAUUUGUUAUAUUGCUUCAGACAGAUUCCACUUUAGCGCUUCUGAGAUCCCUUCAACAAUUAGUUACAAAAGACACCAAGGAGAAGUGGAGAGGGGACCUGUGGGGACAGGGAGUCCGUCGUAUUUUAAGUGAAGCCAAAAUUUCAAUUGGACCCAAAAUGCACAACUACCAUCCACAUGAUCCAUAAGUGGUUGAAACAAACGCAGUGCCAUUAAAGUGUCAAUUGCCAAUAAGAUUGAGUUUGAAAUUAUAUUUUAUUGUAUUCUUGUAAUAAUUAGAAAACAAUGAUGUAAAAAUAAUAUGUAA